rnacentral:rRNA from 1 species
GUGGGGAAUAUUGGGCAAUGGGCGAAAGCCUGACCCAGCAACGCCGCGUGAAGGAAGAAGGUUUUCGGAUCGUAAACUUCUAUCCUUGGUGAAGAUAAUGACGGUAGCCAAGAAGGAAGCCCCGGCUAAAUACGUGCCAGCAGCCGCGGUAAUACGUAGGGGGCAAGCGUUGUCCGGAAUGAUUGGGCGUAAAGGGCGCGUAGGCGGCCCGGUAAGUCUGAAGGGAAAGUCCUGCUUUUAAGGUGGGAAUUGCUUUGGAUACUGUCGGGCUUGAGUGCAGGAGAGGUAAGCGGAAUUCCCGGUGUAGCGGUGAAAUGCGUAGAGAUCUGGAGGAACACCAGGGGCGAAGGCGGCUUACUGGACUGUAGCUGACGCUGAGGCGCGAAAGUGUGGGGAGCAAACAGGAUUAGAAACCCCAGUAGUUC